rnacentral:lncRNA from 10 species
GUUUUAUUAGGGGUUUCCGCUUUUGUGCCUUCCUCAUUCUCUCUUCGCCUGCUGCCAUCCAUGUAACACAGGACUUGCUCCUCCUUGCCUUCUGCCAGAAUUGUGAGGCUUCCCCAGCCACUUGGAACUUAUUUGAGCUGAGAUCCUACCUUCCUGUAUAACAAGAACCUUAACAUCACAGUCAGCUCUUGAUUAUCUGAGCCAGACAGACUGGUUUGAAGAGCAAGAUAUAGCAGUGACCUGCUCUACUACUUGGAUUCUGGAUGGUUUAGAGAAUCACCAGGAAGUCAGGAACAAAGAGUUCCUGGGCAGCUGGCACCACAGUGCAGAUCAUGACAUGGAACACAGAGGAAUGGCUGCUGCCAUCUUUGACCAUGGGAUGCCACAUCUCGAAACACCAACUCUGCUGGUCCCCAGAGCCCAGAUACAGCUACUUGUGCUUCUAUCACCGUGUCCCUGGAAACAGAUGUUGCUGCUAUUACUGGAACUGCCAUAAAAGAUUCUCUGCUGCCUGGCUUUUUUGCUCCCCAAUCUGAGCUUAUGAUAAAUGCCUCACUGUUGCUGCAAGGAGGGGGCCAAUACCCAGGACAACAGGACAGCCAAAAACAAACAAACAAACAAAUGAACAAACAGAAAAGUUCCAGACUCUGGUGAAACACAUGUUUCAGGCCCCUCAGCAAGAGUGGACAAGACAAACAUCUUUACAAGCCCCUCCCCAAAAGGUGCCUUGAGCUGUCCAGAAGAGACAAACCGAAGCCCUGCACUGGAAGGGAGGAAAAGAGAGAGGAACCCCUCCCCCCAGCAAGGAGCGGAGUUAGCUGAAAACUGCACCGAUCCCCUCUUGGGCUCUUCCUUGGCUGCUGCCCCUUCGGCGCAACUGCCCUUCCUCUUGGGCUUCGGCAGUGGGAAGAGAGCGAGCCGGGUGCUUUUGAGCUGCAGUGCGCGGAGAGGCUUCGCGAGGCUGGGCUCAGUAUUCGUUAAUGAUCAAACAAUUAUUUAUGUUGACAGCCCACAUCUCCCUUUCCGUAGUUUCCAUCUGAAGACUUAGCUCUACCCUUCUGGUGCAGAACAGGAAAGCCUAAUCUGUCUUCCCUGAGAUUCAAGAAAUUCAAGAGGCUGCUCCUCCUGGGGCCUCUGUCGGUAUCCUCCUUGUUGCUCCUAGUUAAACUCUUAUUCCUCAGGUAAGAUGGUGCUGAGUCUACUCACCAUCGGACUGUGGUGUCUAGUAUUGGACACCACAUCCCUGAUGUGCCCUGACACCUCAGUGCUCUCCCACAUAGAACCUAGUGGGCACUGUGUCCCCGCAUCUAUCUGAAGAACUGCUCAAGAGGCUUUGUGGGAGGUCUAGCUCCUCCUCACCCCCUCCAGGCUUGACAUGCCUCCACCCCCACCACCCCGUACCCUUCGCAGCAUACUUCCAGUCAGGCAGCAAUCAGCUUGCACCUGAGAGGGAUCAGCUGUGGUGACUGAGGCUGGCUUGCUCUUGCAGCCCCAGGAACACAGAGAUUCGUGCUGAAGAACCAAAUGGUUUCUACAGUACAAGCAGGCGCCAGGGACUCCGCAGGAGGCAUCACUGGCACCUUCUAAUUGAUGAGCAGUCCAGCUCUGAAGCUGUGGGCUCUAAAGCCAGAUACCUCCUCCAGGUGACUCUGAUCUUCCUCUCCCAGCUGAAUAGAGUGAACUUCAGCGUUUCUGGCCUCCAGUUCCUGAACUCUGCUUCUUCCAAGGCAGGUAAGGCAGUUUUGUUCCUCUGCUGGAAGAGUAAUUUCAGGCCUCCCUGUGCCACAUGCUGGUCCUUUUGCCUGGAAUGCUCUUCCUGUCUUCUCUGCUUUCUCCUUCAAGUUUUAGCUUAGGCAUCGCCUUCUCCGGGAAGCUCUUCCUGACCCCCAUUGCUACCCACAGUGAGUCACUUGCUCUCUGUUCCUCACUUCCACGAUGUUUCCUCCUGUCUCCAUCAUUCUACUCAUUAGCCCAGGUGGCAAUUAUUUGUUGUGGUGUUUGUUGUAGACAAAGACAGUCUUGUUUUUUUGGUUUUGGCAUUUUGCUACUAAAUGUGUUUUUGAUAAAUGAAUAAAUAUAAUAACACCACAAUAGCAGCUAAAAAUUAUUUAUUGACCAUUCACUAUGCAAAUGCACAUGCAUUUUCUUAAGUAUUCCAAUAACACAGUGCCAUGGUUAUUAUCUCAGUUUUACAGAUGUAGAAACAGGCUCACGUGAAUUAUGUAACUUGUUCAAGGCCAUAAUAGCAGUUUGUGGUGAGUCUGGGACUUAAACCUAGGUCUUUUAAAAAAAUUAUUAUUCCAAAGUCUUGUUUUAAACUUUGUAAUAUGAAUGUUUAUCCCAAAGAUUUUAAGCACUCCUGAAUGUUAUCUCUUACAUCUAAGAAGAUAGGUAGUUCUCAGAAAAAAUCAAUUGCUUAGAAUGCCUUUUGCAUAGAACUGCUGCUAAUAUUUCUUUUUGCCAGUAAUAGAACUUAGACUCAUAUUAGGCAGUGCAAAGUAGUGGUUAAGUACUCAGACUUUGGAGUCUGCCAGACCUGAGCUCAAAUGCUAGCCCUGAUACUGGAAUCUUGUGUAAAUUACCAUAACUUGCCCAAAUCAUAGUUUGCUUAUACAGUAUCUAAAAAGGGGCUAAACUAUGUUGGAGAAAUGAAACUGUUGUUUACAGAUGCCAUGAUUGUGUGCUUAUAAAAUCUAAAAUAAUCUGCAAACUAUGGUAGGCUGAAAAAUGUACCUCCAACCCCACCUCCCACUCAGGAUAUCAGGUCCUAAUUUCUGGAAACUAUAGAUGCUACCUUAUUUGAAAAAAGCUUCUUGGCAAAUGUUGUGCCAAACCCCCGAUUUGCCUCAGUAGGGAAAGCACCAGGUUCACAAGGCCAAAGAAGAAACCCAGAUGUGGGGUUCUAUUAGGAGCUCACACACAGGGGAGAGAGUCCAGUGGCAGUGGGCUGGGCAGGAGACCUGCCUUACCUACAGCAAUGGUCCAGUGGCAGUGGACAGGACAGCAUAACCACAUGGCCUAGUGGCAGUGACCUGGGCAGGAGAACCACAACUUCCUUUCUAACUGUAAUAAAAUUAGAAAAGUUUGCCAAUGUUACAAAAUAAAGUCCAGAAAUAGACUCAUAUAUCUAAUUACCUGAUUUGUGAUUAAGGUAGUGCAUAGGAAAGAAGGCAUAGUUUGUUUAUUAAAUGUCGCUCCAUCAUGCGCUUUAUACAGCAUUUUCACUUAACAGCCUCCCUCUAAUGACCUCCACCUGGUAAUCUUUAUUUAACCCAAAACUCAAGGCCUCAGUCCCCUGUACAGAUCAGCCUGUGUCCCACAGGACUGGCCGGGGGGCUCUCAUGUUUGUGAUAGAAGAGGAAUGAAUCUCCAAGUUGGCCACUACUGGAUUCCCUAGCUCAGCACAAACAUUCAGGUGCACCUGCCACACAGGGUCAUUCUAAGAGUAUGUUUAAAUCAUUGCUAUUAGGUGCAUUUACCCUAUAGCAGAUGUAAUUAAGUUAGAGAUCUUGUGUUGGGGAGAUGAUCCUGGAUUAUUUGGGUGGGGCAUAAAGACCAUCACAUGUGUCCUUAUAUGACGGAGGCUGAAGUUGGUCAUACACACAGACAGAAGAGAAGGCCAUGUGAAGAUGGAGGCAGAGAUUGGAAUGAUGUGGUCACAAGGAAUGCUGGAGCCACCAGAAACUGGAAGAGGCAAGAAACAGAUUCUCCUCCAGAGCAUCUGGAAGGAGUAUGGCCCUGCUGACACCUUGAUUGUAGCCAAGAUUUUGGACUUCUGGCCUCUAGAGCUAUGAGAGAAUAAAUUUCUAUUGCUUUAAGCCAAUAAAUUUGUGCUAAUUUAUUGCAGGAGGCUUAGACAAUUAAUACACAAACUAUUAGAAUUAAUAAAUGUCAUUAGUAAAGUUGUUGGAUACAAGGUCAAUAUACAAAAAUCAACUGUAUUUCUAUCAGCAACUAACAAAUAAAAAUUAAAAUGUUAUAUUUAUAAUAGCAUCAAUAAACAUCAAAUUCCUAGGAUUAAAUAUAAUAAAUGAUGUACAACUUCAAAAUAUUAUUGAGAGAAAUUAAAAAUGACUUCAACAAAUAAAAAGAUAUAUUAUAUUCAUGAAUUGGAAACUCAACAUUGUCCUAAGAUGUCAUUUCUUCCCAGAUUAAUAUAUUGAU